CGUAGGGUGCAAGCGUUAAUCGGAAUUACUGGGCGUAAAGCGUGCGCAGGCGGUUUUGUAAGUCUGUCGUGAAAUCCCCGGGCUCAACUUGGGAAUUGCGAUGGAGACUGCAAGGCUAGAAUCUGGCAGAGGGGGGUAGAAUUCCACGUGUAGCAGUGAAAUGCGUAGAGAUGUGGAGGAACACCGAUGGCGAAGGCAGCCCCCUGGGUCAAGAUUGACGCUCAUGCACGAAAGCGUGGGGAGCAAACAGGAUUAGAUACCCUGGUAGUCCACGCCCUAAACGAUGUCUACUAGUUGUCGGGUUUUAAUAACUUGGUAACGCAGCUAACGCGUAGAAGUAGACCGCCUGGGGAUACGGUCGCAAGAUUA
rnacentral:rRNA from 1 species